rnacentral:ribozyme from 1 species
AUGGGGGCUUUUUGUUUUGUUGUUUUUGUUUUUAAUUGCGUUCUUUUUUCUCUUUGUUUGUAU